rnacentral:tRNA from 1 species
UGAGGUGUAGCUCAGUGGCAAAACACUUGGCUACCAUGCAAGAGGCCCUAGGUGUGAUUCCCAGCACCACAA